UCACCCGGAUUUGGCAGGAAAGUUCAAGGUGUCCUGGCAGCAGGAAGCUCCCUUGCUCCACCCUCUGCUCUGCACACCAGCUCUCUGAGCUUAUCAAGGAUUUGCUGCACCAGAGCUGCCAGAGACAGUGACCUGUUCCGUGUGGACACUCGAGUGGGAGCUGGACCCCCGGCAUGAAGCACUUCGAGCCCUGGGCAGCCUCCACAGUGCUCCUCUUCACUGCUGCGCUCUGGGAUUCCUGCUCAGCAGCAGCUGAAGCCAUCUCCAAUGUUUCCGGAAGCUCCAUGCCCACAACUGAGUAUGAACCACCAUGUCUUAACGUGAACUUCUGCACGCAGGCGGCCGUGUGCUGCCCGUCGGGCAUGGACGAUUACGGGUGGAUUGCAGCGGCCGUCGGCUGGAGCCUCUGGUUCCUGACUCUCAUCCUGCUCUGCAUGGACAA
rnacentral:lncRNA from 1 species